CCUGAGAAACCCAAAAGAUCGAAUGGGGAGAUUCAUCGCAAGCGUGGCUGGCUUCCGUGCGGCUCGCGAUGGCCGGGACCUCGGUCUCGCGUCACGCGUCCGCUGCGGUAUGCCCGGCUACGUCGGCGUGCACUUCUCCCCUAGUAGGACGUCGCGACCCGUUGGGUGUCGGACCGAUGGCCGUUUGGUCGCCUGUCUCGUCGCGUUUACGCGUGCACGUGGCAGACCGAAACGGUCGAGCGUCCGGCUGCCCGGCGGUAUAGAACGCUAUUGAACGGUAAUGAGCCGCAUUAAGUGCGUUCAGGCUCGUCGGCAGGCUCGUCUCGCCCGGAUUUACGGACCUAGCGCCGUUGCCGGGUGCUUGGCGUGGCCGUUAGUCGACGAUGUCCUCGGACUGGCUCUAAAAUUCGAAAGGAUUACCGGUCGGCGACGCUACUGCUUUGGGUACUUUC
rnacentral:rRNA from 1 species